rnacentral:rRNA from 1 species
GUGAACGCUGGCGGUAGGCCUAACACAUGCAAGUCGAACGGCAGCAUAGUAAGAGCUUGCUCUUACGGGUGGCGAGUGGCGGACGGGUGAGGAAUACAUCGGAAUCUACUUUUUCGUGGGGGAUAACGUAGGGAAACUUACGCUAAUACCGCAUACGACCUACGGGUGAAAGCAGGGGAUCUUCAGACCUUGCGCGAUUGAAUGAGCCGAUGUCGGAUUAGCUAGUUGGCGGGGUAAAGGCCCACCAAGGCGACGAUCCGUAGCUGGUCUGAGAGGAUGAUCAGCCACACUGGAACUGAGACACGGUCCAGACUCCUACGGGAGGCAGCAGUGGGGAAUAUUGGACAAUGGGCGCAAGCCUGAUCCAGCCAUACCGCGUGGGUGAAGAAGGCCUUCGGGUUGUAAAGCCCUUUUGUUGGGAAAGAAAAGCAGCAGGUUAAUACCCCGCUGUUCUGACGGUACCCAAAGAAUAAGCACCGGCUAACUUCGUG